GAUGAACGCUGGCGGCGUACUUAACACAUGCAAGUCGAACGGAAAGGCCCAAGCUUGCUUGGGUACUCGAGUGGCGAACGGGUGAGUAACACGUGGGUGAUCUGCCCUGCACUUCGGGAUAAGCCUGGGAAACUGGGUCUAAUACCGGAUAGGACCACAUUUUGGAUGGUGUGGUGGAAAGUUUUUCGGUGUGGGAUGAGCUCGCGGCCUAUCAGCUUGUUGGUGGGGUAAUGGCCUACCAAGGCGUCGACGGGUAGCCGGCCUGAGAGGGUGUACGGCCACAUUGGGACUGAGAUACGGCCCAGACUCCUACGGGAGGCAGCAGUGGGGAAUAUUGCACAAUGGGCGCAAGCCUGAUGCAGCGACGCCGCGUGGGGGAUGACGGCCUUCGGGUUGUAAACUCCUUUCGCUAGGGACGAAGCGUUUUUGUGACGGUACCUGGAGAAGAAGCACCGGCUAACUACGUG
rnacentral:rRNA from 1 species